rnacentral:tRNA from 1 species
GGGCCCUUAGCUCAGUCGGUCAGAGCAUCCGGCUCAUAACCGGACGGUCACAGGUUCGAAUCCUGUAGGGCCCA